GAAAGCUGUGUGCGGGAAAAUCCCAUGUACGGUUUGGCAAGGGAUUAGAGGAAAUUUUAUUUUCCUCUAAUCUACUCUAC
rnacentral:ncRNA from 1 species